GACUUGUAGAGGUUUAGUUUAGUUUAUAUUACACAUCGAUCAAGCUCCACUUCUAAGUUUACUCUAAUAUCACACAAUCUGUUAUUCAUCCGAACUAUUUUACAAUCAAAUGUGUGGGAAAUGAAGCGAAGUGUAAAGAAAAGCCGUCGAAUGUGUUGCGGUUGCUUCACACCCCCUCCCCCCCGUCCACGGCGGAGAGACGGGGGUAAUGGGAGCAAGCAAUGGGAGAGCUCAUUAUCUGGCAGACCAUCUGCUGUUGGGAGGGAGGACCUGUCUGUCCGUCCCAGACACAGACACUGAAGAGGCCCGGAGUCACGGGGAAAAGGUUCCUCUCCUUUACAUCUGCUGUGUGUGGACACCAGUGAACAGGAGCAGAGAUUAGACCACUGAAAUAAUAAAACCACUAACAACAGGAAGUCUUCUAAUGCAGAUCACAGCUUCAUAACAUCACAGGUGGGCCUGUGAAGUUUGACAGGGUUUUAUCCUCCUUGACAAAAGCUUUUGUGUGGCAUUUGUGUGAUAUGUAAGAGCUUGUUCUUGUGUAUUACGCGGAGGUUUGAUAUUAAAUCGUGCAGAUUGAUAAACAGUGCAGCGUGAAUGAGCAGCAUGGGUUUCAUAGUUGGACUCACAUUGCUGGGGAGCUUAGUGGGAGAAGUUGUGCGAGCAGCAGAUGCUCUUUGUUGCUCCUCGGGCUAUUGUUGUUGAAAGGGCAAACUGGGAGGCCGGGAUUGGUCCGCCUCCCGCCGGCGGGGGGACGGAGCGCCGCCCCGUUGGCCCUGCGCGCUGUCAGUCACCCAGCGGCCCGCCCUCCCCGUCCGGGGAAGUUGAACCAAAGUUUGAGGAACUUUGUUCGGCAGAAGAAAACUCGGCGGCCGCUCAGAGACGGAAGAGAGACGCAACGGAGGAGCGCCAACAUGAAGCUGUGUCGCACCUUCUUAGAAAAUGAGUUCCGGGGCGAGCUGGUGAACCAGCGGUGGACACGAGGCGAGAGGACCAGCACCCGCUGUCAGGCCUCCCAGAGACUGCAGAGCCGUCGACCAAUCAUGGUGAGUGACGAGGCCCCGCAAGCCCCCCCCCCCCCCACACGGCUUCCUCGCCCACCCCCAUCACACACUCACAUCCAGCAGAUUCCGCUUCCUGAGCUUUUGCACAAUCUCUUAACUCAGCAGGGAAAGUAAAAAAAGGUGGAGGAGGGUUGGUUGGAGAAAGGAGGCAGUCUGUGUGGGGGGAGGAUGGGAAACAUGAAUCAAACAGCACAUCAAAUGUCCCGCUCGGCUCCGCCCAUCCUCGGCCCCCAUCAGCUCAGCUGGUUGGUAAAACUCAGCGUUUUACGGCUGCCGAGUUCAGUUUAUGGGACGUUCUUUUUAUUGAAACACAAUAAAAAAAGAAAGUGAAAACGAUGUCCUUCAGCUGCUCGUACUUUUUU
ensembl:lncRNA